ACGGAAGGCAGCAGGGGGAAUAUUGCACAAUGGGCGCAAGCCUGAUGCAGCCAUGCCGCGUGUAUGAAGAAGGCCUUCGGGUUGUAAAGUACUUUCAGUCGUGAGGAAGGUGUUAAGGUUAAUAACCUUAGCAAUUGACGUUAGCGACAGAAGAAGCACCGGCUAACUCCGUGCCAGCAGCCGCGGUAAUACGGAGGGUGCGAGCGUUAAUCGGAAUUACUGGGCGUAAAGGGCACGCAGGCGGUUAAUUAAGUUGGAUGUGAAAUCCCCGGGCUUAACCUGGGAAUGGCAUUCAAGACUGGUUAGCUAGAGUCUUGUAGAGGGGGUAGAAUUCCAUGUGUAGCGGUGAAAUGCGUAGAGAUGUGGAGGAAUACCGGUGGCGAAAGGCGGCCCCUGGACAAAGACUGACGCUCAUGUGCGAAAGCGUGGGGAGCAAACAGGGAUUAGAUACC
rnacentral:rRNA from 1 species